rnacentral:rRNA from 1 species
GAUGAACGCUGGCGGCGUGCCUAAUACAUGCAAGUCGAGCGAACAGAUAAGGAGCUUGCUCCUUUGACGUUAGCGGCGGACGGGUGAGUAACACGUGGAUAACCUACCUAUAAGACUGGGAUAACUUCGGGAAACCGGAGCUAAUACCGGAUAAUAUAUUGAACCGCAUGGUUCAAUAGUGAAAGGCGGCUUUGCUGUCACUUAUAGAUGGAUCCGCGCCGCAUUAGCUAGUUGGUAAGGUAACGGCUUACCAAGGCAACGAUGCGUAGCCGACCUGAGAGGGUGAUCGGCCACACUGGAACUGAGACACGGUCCAGACUCCUACGGGAGGCAGCAGUAGGGAAUCUUCCGCAAUGGGCGAAAGCCUGACGGAGCAACGCCGCGUGAGUGAUGAAGGUCUUCGGAUCGUAAAACUCUGUUAUCAGGGAAGAACAAAUGUGUAAGUAACUGUGCACAUCUUGACGGUACCUGAUCAGAAAGCCACGGCUAACUACGUG